rnacentral:rRNA from 1 species
GGCAAACGGGUGAGUAACACGUGGGUGACCUGCCUUCGAGUGGGGGAUAACGUCCCGAAAGGGACGCUAAUACCGCAUGACAUCCUGCUCUUGGACGAGCGGAGAUCAAAGCCGGGGAUCGCAAGACCUGGCGCUUGAAGAGGGGCCCGCGCCUGAUUAGCUAGUUGGUGAGGUAAUGGCUCACCAAGGCGACGAUCAGUAUCCGGCCUGAGAGGGCGGACGGACACACUGGGACUGAGACACGGCCCAGACUCCUACGGGAGGCAGCAGUGGGGAAUUGUUCGCAAUGGGCGCAAGCCUGACGACGCAACGCCGCGUGGAGGACGAAGAUCUUCGGGUCGUAAACUCCUGUCGAGCGGGAAGAAACCCGCGGAGGUGAAUAGCCUCUGCGGUUGACGGUACCGCUAAAGGAAGCCCCGGCUAACUCCGUGCCAGCAGCCGCGGUAAUACGGGGGGGGCAAGCGUUGUUCGGAAUUACUGGGCGUAAAGGGCUCGUAGGCGGCCAACUAAGUCGGAUGUGAAAUCCCCAGGCUUAACCUGGGAACUGCAUCCGAUACUGGAUGGCUUGAAUCCGGGAGAGGGAUGCGGAAUUCCAGGUGUAGCGGUGAAAUGCGUAGAUAUCUGGAGGAACACCGGUGGCGAAGGCGGCAUCCUGGACCGGCAUUGACGCUGAGGAGCGAAAGCCAGGGGAGCAAACGGGAUUAGAUACCCCGGUAGUCC